rnacentral:snoRNA from 1 species
UGAUGUAUUGAAGUAGUUUAAAAAUAGCAGUAGGAGUUCGCUUGUGGACCAGAGCGCCGUAGAAUCCCAGCCAAAGCUGAGCAAGGUCUCUGAAGGCCCAUGCCAGCAGCACUUCUGAACACAC